rnacentral:rRNA from 1 species
UACGGAAGGCAGCGAGUGGGGAAUAUUGCACAAUGGGCGAAAGCCUGAUGCAGCUAUGCCGCGUGUAUGAAGAAGGCCUUAGGGUUGUAAAGUACUUUCAUCGGGGAGGAAAAACAAAACUAAUAAUUUUAUUUCUUGACGUUACCCGAAAAAGAAGCACCGGCUAACUCCGUGCCAGCAGCCGCGGUAAUACGGAGGGUGCUAGCGUUAAUCAGAAUUACUGGGCGUAAAGAGCACGUAGGUGGUUUUUUUAAGUCAGAUGUGAAAUCCCUGGGCUUAACCUAGGAACUGCAUUUUGAAACUGAAAUACUAGAGUAUCGUAGAGGGAGGUAGAAUUCUAGGUGUAGCGGUGAAAUGCGUAGAUAUCUGGAGGAAUACCUGUGGCGAAAGCGGCCUCCUAAACGAAUACUGACACUGAGGGUGCGAAAGCGUGGGGAGCAAACAGGAUUAGAUACC